GUCAGGAUAGCUCAGUUGGUAGAGCAGAGGACUGAAAAUCCUCGUGUCACCAGUUUAAAUCUGGUUCCUGGCA
rfam:Triticum aestivum genome assembly, contig: Triticum_aestivum_CS42_TGACv1_scaffold_308773_4AS